rnacentral:rRNA from 1 species
GCAAGUCGAACGAGAAAGCACCUUCGGGUGUGAGUAGAGUGGCGCACGGGUGAGUAAUGCAUAGGAACGUACCUUCGGGAGUGGGAUAACCACAGGAAACUGUGGCUAAUACCGCAUAGUCUCGCAAGAGUAAAGGUGGCCUCUUCUUGAAAGCUACCGCCCAAAGAUCGGCCUAUGUCCCAUUAGCUUGUUGGUAAGGUAACGGCUUACCAAGGCUACAAUGGGUAGCUGGUCUGAGAGGAUGAUC